GCCUUCGAGCAUGCAGGAUUCAGGGCAGGUUUCAAACUCUACCGAAUCCUGUAGAACAUUCUUACUUUCCAGAAAUUCAUAAUCCUUUAAAAGUUUUAUGUGUAAACUCUCAAACAAUCAAGCAUAAGAGAGGAAUACAAAUCUGAAAUAAGUUAACAAAAAAAUAGUUUGAGAAGUACACAGAGACUA
rnacentral:antisense_RNA from 1 species